GAUGAACGCUGGCGGCGUGCCUAAUACAUGCAAGUCGAGCGAACAGACGAGGAGCUUGCUCCUCUGACGUUAGCGGCGGACGGGUGAGUAACACGUGGAUAACCUACCUAUAAGACUGGGAUAACUUCGGGAAACCGGAGCUAAUACCGGAUAAUAUAUUGAACCGCAUGGUUCAAUAGUGAAAGACGGUUUUGCUGUCACUUAUAGAUGGAUCCGCGCCGCAUUAGCUAGUUGGUAAGGUAACGGCUUACCAAGGCAACGAUGCGUAGCCGACCUGAGAGGGUGAUCGGCCACACUGGAACUGAGACACGGUCCAGACUCCUACGGGAGGCAGCAGUAGGGAAUCUUCCGCAAUGGGCGAAAGCCUGACGGAGCAACGCCGCGUGAGUGAUGAAGGUCUUCGGAUCGUAAAACUCUGUUAUUAGGGAAGAACAAAUGUGUAAGUAACAAUGCACGUCUUGACGGUACCUAAUCAGAAAGCCACGGCUAACUACGUGC
rnacentral:rRNA from 1 species